rnacentral:rRNA from 1 species
GAUGAACGCUGGCGGCGUGCUUAACACAUGCAAGUCGAACGAUGAAGCCCAGCUUGCUGGGUGGAUUAGUGGCGAACGGGUGAGUAACACGUGAGUAACCUGCCCUUGACUCUGGGAUAAGCCUGGGAAACUGGGUCUAAUACUGGAUAUGACUUCUCAUCGCAUGGUGUGGGGUGGAAAGAUUUAUUGGUCUUGGAUGGACUCGCGGCCUAUCCGCUUGUUGGUGAGGUAAUGGCUCACCAAGGCGACGACGGGUAGCCGGCCUGAGAGGGUGACCGGCCACACUGGGACUGAGACACGGCCCAGACUCCUACGGGAGGCAGCAGUGGGGAAUAUUGCACAAUGGGCGCAAGCCUGAUGCAGCGACGCCGCGUGAGGGAUGACGGCCUUCGGGUUGUAAACCUCUUUCAGUAGGGAAGAAGCGAGAGUGACGGUACCUGCGGAAGAAGCGCCGGCUAACUACGUG